rnacentral:rRNA from 1 species
AUUGAACGCUGGCGGCAUGCCUUACACAUGCAAGUCGAACGGUAGCACGGGAGCAAUCCUGGUGGCGAGUGGCGAACGGGUGAGUAAUAUAUCGGAACGUGCCCAGUAGUGGGGGAUAGCCCGGCGAAAGCCGGAUUAAUACCGCAUACGACCUAAGGGUGAAAGCGGGGGACCGUAAGGCCUCGCGCUAUUGGAGCGGCCGAUAUCAGAUUAGGUAGUUGGUAGGGUAAAAGCCUACCAAGCCAUCGAUCUGUAGCUGGUCUGAGAGGACGACCAGCCACACUGGGACUGAGACACGGUCCAGACUCCUACGGGAGGCAGCAGUGGGGAAUUUUGGACAAUGGGCGAAAGCCUGAUCCAGCCAUGCCGCGUGCAGGAAGAAGGCCUUCGGGUUGUAAACUGCUUUUGUCGGGGAAGAAACGCUCUGGGCUAAUACCCUGGGGUAAUGACGGUACCCGAAGAAUAAGCACCGGAUAACUACGUGCCAGCCGCCGCGGUAA